CCUUUGUACACACCGCCCGUCGCUACUACCGAUUGAAUGGCUCAGUGAGGCCUUCGGACUGGCUCAGGGAGGUCGGCAACGACCACCCAGAGCCGGAAAGUUGGUCAAACUCGGUCAUUUAGAGGAAGUAAAAGUCGUAACAAGGUCUCCGUAGGUGAACCUGCGGAGGGAUCAUUA
rnacentral:rRNA from 1 species